UGGUAGCCUUGCGAGAUGGCGCUUAAGGAA
rnacentral:piRNA from 1 species